UUUUUAUUUAUUUAUUUAUAAUCUAUAUAUCUAUAUCUAUUAUAUAAAACACCAGUUUUAACGGUAAUACUUUGGCGCCAGAUUUUAUCUCUCCCACGUUUUCUCCAACUUUUAUUAACCACGAUUCGAUCUUCUCCCACGAUUAUCAACAUCUGAAACCCUUUUCAUGAACUCUCUUCAGUUCCAGAUUCCAUAACGGCUCCUUGCCAAUCCAUCGUUCAUCAAAUUCAAUCGAAGAUUCGGCUGCCAUUUUUCAGUCGUCAACUGUCGCCCUAGCGCCGCCCCCUCAGACCAACGUUGCUCAAAACGAUUCCAUAACCGUUCUUCUCUGUUACAUCGCUCACCAAACUCAAUCGAAGACUCGGCCACCAUUUCUCGGUCAUCAAUCGCUGCCGCCUCAGACCAACGUCGCCCAAAACGACAGUGUGUGUGCAAAGCAAGAUACAAGAUUAGUCAAUACAUUGAGGGCCACUGCAUCGGAAAUUAGAGAAGUGUUUCUAAAAGUGCUGGUACUCUUAUCCAAUAGUUAGAGGUUUCACAACAAUCGGAACUGGAGGUAA